CGCAGCCCUCCUCGCCUCGCCGCCCGCCUCUUCCUCCUCUUCCUCCGCCGCUUCUUGAAUAAACUCAGGAUGCCAAAACGGUUGAGGUCCGACGUCAAACCCAGGUCAUCAAAGCCGACUGUCCGCGGGGAGGUGAAUCGAGUGUUGCAGCAGCCGGCGAGAAGAGUGGAAGGCGGACGAGGAAGAGGAGGAAGAAGAGGAAAAAAGAGGAAGAAAGAGGAUGAAAGAGGAAGAAGAGAACAAAGCGAAGAAAAACUACUGGAGAAGUGAAGAAAAAGGAAUGGAAGGAAGACAAAAUAGUGAAAGAAGAUGAUAAUGAAGAGGAAAAGAAGCAAAUGGAGGACUAGAAAGGAGGAAGAAGAGGAAGAAGAGGAGGACGUGGAAGAGGAGGAAUAAGAGACGUAAAAAAAAAAAAAACCGAAGAGGACGAAGAUGACAAACAACAACAACAACAACAACAACAACAACAACAAGCAAGGUAAGGAGGAAGAAAGGAAGGAAAGAACGAAGAAGGAGAUGAAAAAGAAGACAAGAAGAAGAAGGUGAAGACGAAAAAAAAGAAGACAGGGGAUUAAAACAAAGAAGACAAAAGAAUAAGAAGAAGACGAGAAAGAAGACAAAGACAAAGACGCAGAAGUAGAUGAAAAAAGAAGACAAGAAGAAGAAGGAGGUGAAGACGAAAAAGAAAGAAAGGAAGACAGAGGAUUAAAACAAAGAAGACAGGAGAAUAAGAAGAAGACAAAGACAAGGAAGAAGACAAUAAAGAUGAAGAAUUAGAUGAAAAAGAAGACAAGAAGAAGCAGGUGAAGACAAAAGAAGACAAAAGAAAACAGGAUGAAAACAAAGAAGACAAGAGAAUGAGAAUAAGACAGGGAAGAAGACAAAGACAAAGAGGGAAAAUGGAGGAAGAAAAGAAGGAAAGAACGAAGAAGUAGAUGAAAAAGAAGACAAGAAGAAGGUGAAGACAAAAGAAGACAAAAGAAGACAGGAUGAAAACAAAGAAGACAAGAAGAAGGUGAAGACAAGAAAGAAAAAAGACAGAAUUAAAACAAAAAAGACAGGAGAAUAAGAAGAAGACAAGAAAGAAAACAAAGACGAAAAAGUAGAUGAAAAAGAAGACAAGAAGAAGAAGGUGAAGACGAAAAAGAAAAAAAGACAGGAUGAAAACAAAAGACAAAAGAAUAAGAAGACGAAGACAAAAGAGGAAGAAGAUAAAGACAAAGACGAAGAAAAGGCAAAGACAAAGAAGAAAAUACAAAGAAGAAAAAGAAGAAAGACAAUCACAAAGACGUAGAAAAAGAAGACAAUCACAAAGACAAAGAAAAAGAAGACUAAGAAGAACAACAAGAAGAAAACAAGCGAAGAAAAGAAGACAAAAAGAAAAAGAAGAAAAAGUAGAAGAUGAGAGCCAGACUAAUUAUCUCGAAGAAAGAAAACAGAGAGGUGAAGACAAGGCAGGUGAACAGGAGGAAGAAAACAACAGGUGAACUAACAGUAAACAGGCAAUUAAAAUCUUGGCACACAGGUAAGAUGUUCUCGUUAAGGUGAUUGUUGUUAUAGGCGGGUGAGGUGUUCUUCACUGCCAACACUCUUAUCAGUUAUUUCUGUCAUCUCAUUUUAAACCCUUCCACAAACCCUUCCUGGCACACCGACUAAGACACUUUCCCUCCGUAUAAUGACACAGUGAUGACCUUUGUCUAGUCUUACGGCACUCUCUUUGUAUAAUGACACAGUGAUGACCUUUGUCUAGUCUUACGGCACUCCCUUUGUAUAAUGACACAGUGAUGACCUUUGUCUAGUCUUACGGCACCUCCUCCAGACCAGAUCACACACCCAUCUACUACGAACUAAUGUGGAGCAUACGCCAGGGGGCACGUCGUUUAGCCUACCCACCAAUACCACCUCAGAGAGUCAACCUGGGAAAAGCCUCUACGCAGCUGCCCUUCCUAUUCCAUGUCCCUCCUUGGUCUCCUCCACUCAGGGUUGUCUUGUACAGAAACAACUCUGUGAGCAGGAUCGACAUCAGGGAGUGGUGCCACGUGCCCACAUGGCCUGAGUUAGCAUUCACGGACUAAGCUGGAAACAGGCCUCAAUUCAGUUGAACAAAGAAGUCACUGGUUCGACAAGGUCAUUCCAGCUGUGCUCCAUAAUCCUGCAAAGGCACCAACAUACCCCUCCAUGUCUAUUCAGUGUCCAUGUCUCACUUCCAUAUUUCAACAUUUCUGCCAUUAAUAGUAGGGCCCUUUCCUACUUUUACCUUCCCUGCCUCUCCACCCACCCUGAGGUUAUGCAAGCCACCCCACUCCCCAAGCACACAGUUUUCAACUUUGCCAUUCAUGUCCCCAACUCAAGUGCCCUUCAUUGAUUACCAAGAGUUUUCAGACAAUGCCCAGCUCCCCCCAGAAUCUCUUCAUCCCACUGAAAAGUGACUUGAAGAGGCAGACUGGUGCCUUUGGCAAUAUGUAAUACAGAAUUCUGGUGGAAUGACUUUGUGUCAAACUGGCGAUCACUCUGUGAGACUGAUUUGAGGCCUAUUACCUGCAUAGUCUGUAAGUGCCACGCCCGGCUAUACAGGCGUCUGGCAUGCUACCCAGAAGCUGACCGCUCUCACUGUGUUGUUUCUCAAAGAGACAACCAGUUUGUGGCUUGAGCAAGUCCAUAGAUCCUGCUGGGAGGUACUUGGGAUGGGAAGGGGCCUGCAUGGAGACUUGCCCCCAUAGGAACCCAGGUUUGGCAUUGUAGGGUGAGCGAGGUGAUGCGCCCCCUGGCAUAUGCCCCCAUUGAUUGGUUCUUCACCUUUACCUGUCAUCCACACUACCUUUGAACCAUACCAUCCAUGUCAUCCACUCCUGUCUGUACUUGUGGGGAGACCAAUAUCACAGAUGGUUCCUUAUCUUCCUUUCCCCCUUCUCUUCUCACAUCACCUCCACACUUCCCUACGCAAACACCUCACAGAAAGAACUAUCAGUGUAUACAUGAAUCAGAUGCAUACAUAUCAGGUAAUACAUACACACACACACAAAUGGGAUUAAAUUCAAAGGCACCAUAAAAUUCCAGUCAUUUAAUUUUAUAUUUUUUUUCUCCAAUGUAAAUUCAACCACAGUUACUUGAUCCUCUUACCUGCUUCUUUCCUUCCUUCCCGUACUUGAGCUAUUUAAGCCUUUAUUUGUAUAUAUAUUUUAAGACUACUACGUAAAUGUGUGUGAGGCUGUGCGAGUGUGUAUAUGUGUGUAACAAAGAGCUAACAACCUUACAAUUAGUUUUUUUCUUAUUUUUUUCUUUCAUAUCCGAGCUAAUCCUCGUCCUCAUCACUCCGGCUUGAUGGUGACUCCUCGCCGGAUCUGA